ensembl:lncRNA
AAAUUAUUCUCUAUUCAAAUUACAUUUACAUUUAUAAAUUAAUUUUUAUUUUUUUGUGUAUGUGUUGCAAGUCAAAAGGGAUUGAACUCGGGACUUUGUACUUGCAAGACAGGUGGCAGAACCACUGAGCUAAAUCCCCGGCUGAAAAUCAGCUGUAAAUUGAUUUUGGAUCUCAAGAAUACCUACUCCACCACUGUUUGAAUGAACUUGUCUAUGAGAAUUGAUUGAGAAGGAACUGCAUGAGAACUGAGGAUGAAAGACAAAGAUCAUCAAGUUUUAGAAUCUCUGACCAGCACAUGCUAAUGAACUUCACGGUGAAGAAGUAUGAAUGAUCACACAUGCUACAAAACACAUUGGGGUAGACCUCAGGAG